GACGAACGCUGGCGGCGUACUUAACACAUGCAAGUCGAGCGGUAAGGCCCUUUCGGGGGUACACGAGCGGCGAACGGGUGAGUAACACGUGGGUGACCUGCCCUCAGCUCUGGGAUAAGCCUGGGAAACUGGGUCUAAUACCGGAUAUGACUCCAUGACGCAUGUUGUGGGGUGGAAAGCCUUGUGCGGCUAGGGAUGGGCCCGCGGCCUAUCAGCUUGUUGGUGGGGUGAUGGCCUACCAAGGCGACGACGGGUAGCCGGCCUGAGAGGGCGACCGGCCACACUGGGACUGAGACACGGCCCAGACUCCUACGGGAGGCAGCAGUGGGGAAUCUUGCGCAAUGGGCGAAAGCCUGACGCAGCGACGCCGCGUGAGGGAUGACGGCCUCGGUUGUAAC
rnacentral:rRNA from 1 species